rnacentral:rRNA from 1 species
GGGUAGUAAAAUUAAAACCUAAAGAAUUUGGCGGUUCUUAAACUUACUAGAGGAACCUGUCCUAUAAUCGAUAGUCCACGAAACUAUUUACCUAUUUUUGUCAUCAGCUUAUAUACCGCCGUUUAGUGAACUAAACUAAUAGUUUCUCUAAAUUAAUUAGUUAAAUAAAUCAGGUCAAGGUGUAGUUUAUGAAUAGGAAGAGAUGGGUUACAAUAAUAUUUUAUACGAAUAUUUUAUUUUGGAAUUAAAUUGAAGGUGGAUUUAGAAGUAAACUUUAACCUUUUGAAGAAAGCUCUUGAGAAUGUACAUAU